rnacentral:antisense_RNA from 1 species
CUUCACCGAGCCGAGCCACAGCGGGCGGUCCUCGGCGCGGUCGCGUCCGUAGGUCGCCAGCAGGGCCUGCGCCUC